UGUGGGGUAGUUCAGUUUGGUAGAACAAUACAAAGGUAUAUGUUGGCGGUUCAAUCCCGCUUCCCACACUCCA
rnacentral:tRNA from 1 species